rnacentral:rRNA from 1 species
UUUAAUUGAAGAGUUUGAUCAUGGCUCAGAUUGAACGCUGGCGGCAGGCCUAACACAUGCAAGUCGAGCGGCAGCACAGAGGAACUUGUUCCUUGGGUGGCGAGCGGCGGACGGGUGAGUAAUGCCUGGGAAAUUGCCCGGUAGAGGGGGAUAACCAUUGGAAACGAUGGCUAAUACC